AAUAAAAUUACAAAAAAACUAAAAACUCUUAACACUUUCUCUUUCAUCUCUUUCACUCCAACCUUUUCUCUCAUUCUCAAAACUAAAAAAAAAAAAAAAAAAAAAAAACCCAAACCCUUACUCACCUCUCUCACUCCUCUCAACCUUUUCUUUUUCAUCUCUCUCACUUCAACCUUUUCUCUCUCAUCCCCCUACUGUAGCCCUAAUUGAAAAAAUCAAAAACAUUUGCCUAACCCUAAUCUACCUUCCUCACAUAUCUAAUUUAUUUCUCUCCCUCAUCCACAC
rnacentral:lncRNA from 1 species